rnacentral:lncRNA from 1 species
AGCACGCAGAGGGGAUACAUCAAAACAGAUGUAAUCUUUGUAGCAUGGGCCGUUCGUUGGCAACUGAAAGUUACUGCUGAUGCCCAUUGUGUUUCGGACCUGGGGUCAGAGGUGCUCCUGCUUUUCCCUCUGCCAGAUAAAAGCAUCAGUGGUGUCACAGUGCUCUUCGCAGAAACGCUCCCUCAGAGAAGGAUGGAAAUGUUGAGCUGUGUCUUUGUUCUGGAGCCCCAGUCUUUACCAAAAGCUUUGUGCUUGGCCACAGACAUGAAUAAAGGGAGCAAAGCACAGGUUUCUAAUUGUUGUGACAUCCAUAUUUCUUACAAUCAGAGGGAAAAAGAAGAGAAACACAACUGACUUAAGAGGCCCAGACCCAACAGGAAUGGCCUGGAAUUAGCGAAUGUAAAGACUCAGCUUUGAGUCAUGUUCUAGGUACAAUACUGUUUCUCAUGAGCUACGUGACAGAAUGCUUUGCCUUCAUUCAACCAGUCCUUAGUCAAAAAUAAGACUUGUUUAGGAGACGGUACUCAUCCUGUUAGCUCUGUUGUUGCAGCUGUGUGUUACACUCUCUGUCUUCUUUGGGAACCUUAUCCAAUGGAUAAAAGAUACUGGGCAAAAAUGGAGAGAUGAAGUAAAUAAAAUUAAAUUCUUCAAAAGCCCUAGAUGCCUUUCUGCAGUGAUGACCUUUGCAGAGUCUCAGGGAAACUUCACGCUCAAUUUUGUUCUUUGGCA